rnacentral:rRNA from 1 species
CGUGUAGGCGGGAGGACAAGUCAGAUGUGAAAUUCCAUGGCUCAACUGUGGGACUGCAUCUGAAACUGUUUUCUUGAGUACUGGAGAGGAAAGUGGAAUUCCUAGUGUAGCGGUGAAAUGCGUAGAUAUUAGGAGGAACACCAGUGGCGAAGGCGACUUUCUGGACAGUAACUGACGCUGAGGCGCGAAAGCGUGGGGAGCAAACAG